rnacentral:rRNA from 1 species
AUAGGGGUCAAGCGUUGUCCGGAUUUAUUGGGCGUAAAGAGCUCGUAGGCGGUUCAACAAGUCGGUCGUAAAAGUUUAGGGCUCAACCCUAAAAUGUCGAUCGAUACUGUUGUGACUAGGAUACGGUAGAGGUGAAUGGAAUUCCGAGUGUAGCGGUGAAAUGCGUAGAUAUUCGGAGGAACACCAAUUGCGAAGGCAGUUCACUGGACCGUGAUCGACGCUGAGGAGCGAAAGCUAGGGGAGCAAACAGGAUUAGAUACCCUGGUAGUCCUAGCUGUAAACGAUGGAUACUAGAUGUAGGAACUGGAUUGACGGUUUCUGUAUCGUAGCUAACGCGUUAAGUAUCCCGCCUGGGGAGUACGGUCGCAAGACUAAAACUCAAAGGAAUUGACGGGACCCCGCACAAGCGGCGGAGCAUGCGGCUUAAUUCGAUGAUACCCGUAGAACCUUACCUGGACUUGACAUAUAGGGAAAAACUGGAGAAAUCCAGUGUGCGUAAGCGCCCUUUACAGGUGGUGCAUGGCUGUCGUCAGCUCGUGUCGUGAGAUGUUGGGUUAAGUCCCGCAACGAGCGCAACCCCUGUCCUAUGUUGCCAGCAAGUAAUGUUGGGGACUCAUAGGAGACUGCCGGUGAUAAACCGGAGGAAGGUGGGGAUGACGUCAAGUCAUCAUGCCCCUUAUGUCCAGGGCUGCACGCAUGCUACAAUGGCAAGUACAACGAGUCGCAAUACCGCGAGGUGGAGCAAAUCUCUUAAAGCUUGUCUCAGUUCGGAUAGGAGUCUGCAACUCGACUCCCUUGAAGUUGGAGUCGCUAGUAAUCGCAAAUCAGCAAAGUUGCGGUGAAUACGUUCUCGGGGUUU